CUGGAGAGGGACUGUUAAAAUGAUAUAUUACACCACUAUCUCUGUGCUUUAACUUCCUAAAUAUCUAUUGCAUGGGAAUUACAUUAAUAGAUUGAAAAAGUACUGUAUAGUAAUAAUUAUGUUUAAAGAUAUAAAAAUUGCCAUUGGGGUUCAAUGUUGAAGAAAAGCAGUAUUAUGGAUUAGUCACUAAAACAAAAGUAAACUACUUUUUUUUUUGCAAAUUAAAACACUGCUUAGUCAUAUUUUACUUUUCUAAUGAGUCAUCAAUCAACUACAAGGAAAAAUGUUUACAUUAGGGAUUGCUAUAGAGGUGCAGGUAUGGGAUGAACAUUUAUAUUAGAGAUUGCUAUAGAGGUGCAGGUGUGGGACAGACAUUUACAUUAGGGAUUGCUAUAGAGGUGCAGGAGGAACAUUUACAUUAGGGAUUGCUAUAGAGGUGCAGGAGGAACAUUUACAUUAGGGAUUGCUAUAGAUGUGCAGUUAUGGGAUGAACAUUUACAUUAGGGAUUGCUAUAGAGGUGCAGGUGUGGUAUGAACAUUUACAUUAGAGAUUGCUAAAGAGGUGCAGGUGUAGGAUGAACAUUUACAUUAGGGAUCGCUAUAGAGGUGCAGGUGGGGGAUGAACAUUUACAUUAGGGAUUGCUAUAGACGUGCAGGUAUGGGAUGAACAUUUACAUUAGGGAUUGCUAUAGAUGUGCAGUUAUGGGAUGAACAUUUACAUAAGGGAUUGCUAUAGAGGUGCAGGUGUGGGAUGAACAUUUACAUUAUGGAUUGCUAUAGAGGUGCAGGUGUGGGACAGACAUUUACAUUAGGGAUUGCUAUAGAGGUGCAGGUGUGGGAUGAACAUUUACAUUAGGGAUUGCUAUAGAGGUGCAGGUGAGGGACAGACAUUUACAUUAGAGAUUGCUAUAGAGGUGCAGUUACGGGAUGAACAUUUACAUUAGGGAUUGCUAUAGAGCUGCUGGUGUGGGAUGAACAUUUACAAUAGGGAUUGCUAUAGAGGUGCAGGUGUGGGACAGACAUUUACAUUAGGGAUUGCUAUAGAGCUGCUGGUGUGGGAUGAACAUUUACAUUAGGGAUUGCUAUAGAGGUGCAGGUGUGGGACAGACAUUUACAUUAGGGAUUGCUAUAGAGGUGCAGGUAUGGGAUGAACAUUUACAUUAUGGAUUGCUAUAGAGGUGCAGGUGUGGGACAGACAUUUACAUUAGAGAUUGCUAUAGAGGUGCAGUUACGGGAUGAACAUUUACAUUAGGGAUUGCUAUAGAGCUGCUGGUGUGGGAUGAACAUUUACAAUAGGGAUUGCUAUAGAGGUGCAGGUGUGGGAUGAACAUUUACAUUAGAGAUUGCUAUAGAGGUGCAGGUGUGGGACGGACAUUUACAUUAGGGAUUGCUAUAGAGGUGCAGGUAUGGGAUGAACAUUUACAUUAGGGAUUGCUAUAGAGGUGCAGCUGUGGACAGACAUUUACAUUAGGGAUUGCUAUAGAGGUGCAGGUGUGGGACAGACAUUUACAUUAGGGAUUGCUAUAGAGGUGCAGCUGUGGACAGACAUUUACAUUAGGGAUUGCUAUAGAGGUGCAGCUGUGGACAGACAUUUACAUUAGGGAUUGCUAUAGAGGUGCAGGUGUGGGACAGACAUUUACAUUAGGGAUUGCUAUAGAGGUGCAGGUGUGGGAUGAACAUUUACAUUAGGGAUUGCUAUAGAGGUGCAGGUGUGGGAUGAACAUUUACAUUAGGGAUUGCUAUAGAGGUGCAGGAGGAACAUUUACAUUAGGGAUUGCUAUAGAGUUGCAGGUGUGGGAUGAACAUUUACAUUAGGGAUUGCUAUAGAGGUGCAGGUGUGGGAUGAACAUUUACAGUAGAG